rnacentral:pre_miRNA from 1 species
GCGUGUGGAUGGUGUUCAGCACCAUGGAAAGGUGCGUUCACCUGUGUGUGGAUGGUGUUCAGCACCGGGGACAGGUGUGCUUACCU